UACCCGCAGCCCGAGUGGUGGUCACUUUUAUUGAGCCUAAAGCGUCCGUAGCCGGACAGGUAAAUCCUUGGGUAAAUCGAACGGCUUAACCGUUCGAAUUCCGGGGAGACUGCCUGUCUUGAGACCGGGAGAGGUCAGAGGUACUUAGGGGGUAGGGGUAAUAUCCUGUAAUCCUCAAAGGACCACCAGUGGCGAAGGCGUCUGACUUGAACGGAUUUGACGGUGAGGGACGAAGCCCAGGGGCGCAAACGGG
rnacentral:rRNA from 1 species